GUAACCUGCCCUUGACUCUGGGAUAAGCCUGGGAAACCGGGUCUAAUACUGGAUACGACCUUCUGGCGCAUGCCAUGUUGGUGGAAAGCUUUUGUGGUUUUGGAUGGACUCGCGGCCUAUCAGCUUGUUGGUGGGGUAAUGGCCUACCAAGGCGACGACGGGUAGCCGGCCUGAGAGGGUGACCGGCCACACUGGGACUGAGACACGGCCCAGACUCCUACGGGAGGCAGCAGUGGGGAAUAUUGCACAAUGGGCGCAAGCCUGAUGCAGCGACGCCGCGUGAGGGAUGAAGGCCUUCGGGUUGUAAACCUCUUUCAGUAGGGAAGAAGCUGGCCUUUGGGUUGGUGACGGUACCUGCAGAAGAAGCGCCGGCUAACUACGUGCCAGCAGCCGCGGUAAUACGUAGGGCGCAAGCGUUAUCCGGAAUUAUUGGGCGUAAAGAGCUCGUAGGCGGUUUGUCGCGUCUGCCGUGAAAGUCCGGGGCUUAACUCCGGAUCUGCGGUGGGUACGGGCAGACUAGAGUGCAGUAGGGGAGACUGGAAUUCCUGGUGUAGCGGUGAAAUGCGCAGAUAUCAGGAGGAACACCGAUGGCGAAGGCAGGUCUCUGGGCUGUAACUGACGCU
rnacentral:rRNA from 1 species